rnacentral:rRNA from 1 species
UGGGGAAUAUUGCACAAUGGAGGGAACUCUGAUGCAGCGACGCCGCGUGAGUGAUGAAGGACUUCGUUUCGUAAAACUCUGUUCUAUGGGAAGAAAAGGACUGUACCAUAGGAGAAAGCUCCGGCUAAAUACGUGCCAGCAGCCGCGGUAAUACGUAUGGAGCGAGCGUUGUCCGGAAUUAUUGGGCGUAAAGGGUGCGCAGGCGGCUUUACAAGUUGGAUGUGAAAUAUUGUGGCUCAACCACAAACGUGCAUUCAAAACUGCAAAGCUUGAGUUAAGGAGAGGUAAGUGGAAUUCCUGGUGUAGCGGUGGAAUGCGUAGAUAUCAGGAGGAAUACCGGUGGCGAAGGCGACUUACUGGACUUAAACUGACGCUCAGGCACGAAAGCGUGGGGAGCAAACAGG